rnacentral:rRNA from 1 species
GGUUAAGCGACUAAGCGUACACGGUGGAUGCCCUGGCAGUCAGAGGCGAUGAAGGGCGUGCUAAUCUGCGAUAAGCGCCGGUAAGGUGAUAUGAACCGUUAUAACCGGCGAUACCCGAAUGGGGAAACCCAGUGUGACUCGUCACACUAUCAUUAACUGAAUCCAUAGGUUAAUGAGGCGAACCGGGGGAACUGAAACAUCUAAGUACCCCGAGGAAAAGAAAUCAACCGAGAUUCCCCCAGUAGCGGCGAGCGAACGGGGAGGAGCCCAGAGCCUGAAUCAGCAUGUGUGUUAGUGGAAGCGUCUGGAAAGGCGCGCGAUACAGGGUGACAGCCCCGUACACAAAAGCGCAUGUGCUGUGAGCUCGAUGAGUAGGGCGGGACACGUGGUAUCCUGUCUGAAUAUGGGGGGACCAUCCUCCAAGGCUAAAUACUCCUGACUGACCGAUAGUGAACCAGUACCGUGAGGGAAAGGCGAAAAGAACCCCGGCGAGGGGAGUGAAAAAGAACCUGAAACCGUGUACGUACAAGCAGUGGGAGCACGUUUACCUGUGUGACUGCGUACCUUUUGUAUAAUGGGUCAGCGACUUAUAUUCUGUAGCAAGGUUAACCGAAUAGGGGAGCCGGAGGGAAACCGAGUCUUAAUUGGGCGUUAAGUUGCAGGGUAUAGACCCGAAACCCGGUGAUCUAGCCAUGGGCAGGUUGAAGGUUGGGUAACACUAACUGGAGGACCGAACCGACUAAUGUUGAAAAAUUAGCGGAUGACCUGUGGCUGGGGGUGAAAGGCCAAUCAAACCGGGAGAUAGCUGGUUCUCCCCGAAAGCUAUUUAGGUAGCGCCUCGUGAAUUCAUCUCCGGGGGUAGAGCACUGUUUCGGCUAGGGGGCCAUCCCGGCUUACCAACCCGAUGCAAACUGCGAAUACCGGAGAAUGUUAUCACGGGAGACACACGGCGGGUGCUAACGUCCGUCGUGAAGAGGGAAACAACCCAGACCGCCAGCUAAGGUCCCAAAGUCAUGGUUAAGUGGGAAACGAUGUGGGAAGGCCCAGACAGCCAGGAUGUUGGCUUAGAAGCAGCCAUCAUUUAAAGAAAGCGUAAUAGCUCACUGGUCGAGUCGGCCUGCGCGGAAGAUGUAACGGGGCUAAACCAUGCACCGAAGCUGCGGCAGCGAACGUAUCACCCAAGACAACUUUGCGGAGUUGACGAUUGACGGAGCGAAGCGACGUCAAAGCGUUCAUUAAAGUCGAGUUGGCUUAGGGAUACGUUCGUUGGGUAGGGGAGCGUUCUGUAAGCCAGUGAAGGUGUGUCGUGAGGGUUGCUGGAGGUAUCAGAAGUGCGAAUGCUGACAUAAGUAACGAUAAAGCGGGUGAAAAGCCCGCUCGCCGGAAGACCAAGGGUUCCUGUCCAACGUUAAUCGGGGCAGGGUGAGUCGACCCCUAAGGCGAGGCCGAAAGGCGUAGUCGAUGGGAAACGGGUUAAUAUUCCCGUACUUGGUGUUACUGCGAAGGGGGGACGGAGAAGGCUAUGUUGGCCGGGCGACGGUUGUCCCGGUUUAAGCGUGUAGGUGUGUGUUCCAGGUAAAUCCGGUUCACUUUAACACUGAGGCGUGAUGACGAGGCACUACGGUGCUGAAGCAACAAAUGCCCUGCUUCCAGGAAAAGCCUCUAAGCAUCAGGUAACAUCAAAUCGUACCCCAAACCGACACAGGUGGUCAGGUAGAGAAUACCAAGGCGCUUGAGAGAACUCGGGUGAAGGAACUAGGCAAAAUGGUGCCGUAACUUCGGGAGAAGGCACGCUGACACGUAGGUGAAGUGAUUUACUCAUGGAGCUGAAGUCAGUCGAAGAUACCAGCUGGCUGCAACUGUUUAUUAAAAACACAGCACUGUGCAAACACGAAAGUGGACGUAUACGGUGUGACGCCUGCCCGGUGCCGGAAGGUUAAUUGAUGGGGUCAGCGCAAGCGAAGCUCCUGAUCGAAGCCCCGGUAAACGGCGGCCGUAACUAUAACGGUCCUAAGGUAGCGAAAUUCCUUGUCGGGUAAGUUCCGACCUGCACGAAUGGCGUAAUGAUGGCCAGGCUGUCUCCACCCGAGACUCAGUGAAAUUGAACUCGCUGUGAAGAUGCAGUGUACCCGCGGCAAGACGGAAAGACCCCGUGAACCUUUACUAUAGCUUGACACUGAACAUUGAGCCUUGAUGUGUAGGAUAGGUGGGAGGCUUUGAAGUGUGGACGCCAGUCUGCAUGGAGCCGGCCUUGAAAUACCACCCUUUAAUGUUUGAUGUUCUAACGUGGACCCGUAAUCCGGGUUGCGGACAGUGUCUGGUGGGUAGUUUGACUGGGGCGGUCUCCUCCUAAAGAGUAACGGAGGAGCACGAAGGUUGGCUAAUCCUGGUCGGACAUCAGGAGGUUAGUGCAAUGGCAUAAGCCAGCUUGACUGCGAGCGUGACGGCGCGAGCAGGUGCGAAAGCAGGUCAUAGUGAUCCGGUGGUUCUGAAUGGAAGGGCCAUCGCUCAACGGAUAAAAGGUACUCCGGGGAUAACAGGCUGAUACCGCCCAAGAGUUCAUAUCGACGGCGGUGUUUGGCACCUCGAUGUCGGCUCAUCACAUCCUGGGGCUGAAGUAGGUCCCAAGGGUAUGGCUGUUCGCCAUUUAAAGUGGUACGCGAGCUGGGUUUAGAACGUCGUGAGACAGUUCGGUCCCUAUCUGCCGUGGGCGCUGGAGAACUGAGGGGGGCUGCUCCUAGUACGAGAGGACCGGAGUGGACGCAUCACUGGUGUUCGGGUUGUCAUGCCAAUGGCACUGCCCGGUAGCUAAAUGCGGAAGAGAUAAGUGCUGAAAGCAUCUAAGCACGAAACUUGCCCCGAGAUGAGUUCUCCCUGAGACUUAGAGUCUCCUGAAGGAACGUUGAAGACGACGACGUUGAUAGGCCGGGUGUGUAAGCGCAGCGAUGCGUUGAGCUAACCGGUACUAAUGAACCGUGAGGCUUAACCUU